UACAGAGGUGGCAAGCGUUGUUCGGAAUUACUGGGCGUAAAGGGCGCGUAGGCGGUUCGUUAAGUCCUGUGUGAAAUCCCCCGGCUCAACUGGGGAACUGCACAGGAAACUAGCGGGCUUGAGUUCGGGAGAGGGAAGCGGAAUUCCGGGUGUAGCGGUGAAGUGCGUAGAUAUCCGGAGGAACACCGGUGGCGAAGGCGGCUCCUGGACCGACACUGACGCUGAGGCGCGAAAGCUAGGGGAGCAAACGGG
rnacentral:rRNA from 1 species